AGUUAAUGAACUUGUUAUAAGUUUAUAUUUUGAAAAUAUAGUAAAGAGGCAAUAAUCCUCUAUUAACUU
rnacentral:tRNA from 1 species